GCCAAGAAUGGUUGUCAUGCCUGUAGUCCCAGCUGCUUGGGAGGCUGAGGCAGGAGGACUGCUUGGGCCCAGGAGUUCAAGGCUAGCCUGGGCAACAUAGUGAGACCAUGUCUCAA
rnacentral:sRNA from 1 species